AAAUAACCCAAUUAUUUUAACCUACAUUCU
rnacentral:piRNA from 1 species